CAGCUUAGGUGGGAGGCUAUGAACCUUUUCUUCUGGGAAGAGGGGAGCCAUCAGUGAGAUACCACUCUUGGUAAGCUAGAGCGCUCAGUCUUCACCGUCAUCCGGUAAGACGACAGUUUCAGGCGGGCAGUUUGACUGGGGCAGUCACCUCCCAAAAGGUAAUGGAGGUGUGCAAAGGUUCCCUCAGGCUGGACGGAAAUCAGCCAUAGAGUGUAAAAGCAUAAGGGAGCUUGACUGCGAGUCUGACAUGUCAAGCAGAGACGAAAGUCGGCUUUAGUGAUCCGACGGUGCUGUGUGGAAAGGCCGUCGCUCAACGGAUAAAAGUUACUCUAGGGAUAAC
rnacentral:rRNA from 1 species